rnacentral:rRNA from 1 species
UACGUAGGUGGCAAGCGUUGUCCGGAAUUAUUGGGCGUAAAGCGCGCGCAGGCGGCCUCUUAAGUCUGAUGUGAAAGCCCCCGGCUCAACCGGGGAGGGCCAUUGGAAACUGGAAGGCUUGAGUAUAGGAGAGAAGAGUGGAAUUCCACGUGUAGCGGUGAAAUGCGUAGAGAUGUGGAGGAACACCAGUGGCGAAGGCGACUCUUUGGCCUAUAACUGACGCUGAGGCGCGAAAGCGUGGGGAGCAAACAGG